rnacentral:sRNA from 1 species
GAAACAGAGUUUUUUUGUGUAGCCUUGGUUGUCCUGGAUGUCAUUCUGUAGACCAGGCUGGCCUCAAACUUACGAAGAGCUACCUGCAUCUGUCUCUCAAUUACAGAGAUGAAAGGCAUUUGCCACCACUGCCCAGCCACCUCCAUAUAUAUUUUUUUCAGGUCAGACCUGAUGAUGUAGACUCAUUAGUGAGAAAUGCCAAGUAUAUUUUUUCCCAUAAAAGAGAGGGAGGAGGGUUCUCAGUGCAGGUGACACUUAGAGAACAUUUUGUCUUUCAUCCACUCUCAGAGACACAGUGACUUAUCACUUUGGUGGCUUGUAAAAUGCCUUCCUAUGAGAGUGCCCAGCAGAACCAGAGGAAUCUUGGUGUCACCCUGAGUCCAUGUCAGGUAGCAUUUCAGGUCUCUGACUUUCAUCUCUCAGACCCCCAUAGGCUAAAGCAGAGAACAGAAGCAGGAAAGGAGAUGGAGACACUUCGAUUCAGAGUGCCAUCACCUCAAAAUGCACGCACAGAAGACCGGAAAGCAAGUCCUUGGUUGUGCUUUGCCAUCUUGGGGUAACCUGUGGUCCCGCUGGUGAAGAAGAUGACCAUGGGGUCCUUCAUCUUUGACUUAACACAGAAAUGGUCUCAAGGUGUAGCUCUGGCUGUCCUGGAACUUGUUUUGUAGACUAGUCCUACUGUGAACUCGCGGAGAUCCACGUGUCCCUGCUUCCCGAGUGCUCGGAUUAAAGUUGUACAUUACCACACCGCUCAAGUUGCUUUGAAGCUUCCCAUUUCACCUCGAAAACUCAUUUUCAUAAAACUUCUUCAUAUAUGCAUCUUAUAUGUAAAAAGGUUCUUUGUCUACAUGGA